rnacentral:lncRNA from 1 species
GUAGGAGUCUGGGCGAAGCCUACCUGCAAUUAAAGUCAGGGAUGAAGUCCGGCUCCCUUAGGAGUCCGGACGAAAUUUACCAGUAGUCAAAGUCGGGGAUGAAGUCCGGCUCCCGUAGGAGUCUGGACGAAGUUUCUCCGUGGCCGGAGUCGGAGGCGAGAUCUGGCUCCUGUAGGAGUCCGGUUGAAGUCUUCCUGUAGCUGG